rnacentral:rRNA from 1 species
UACGUAGGGUGCGAGCGUUGUCCGGAAUUACCGGGCGUAAAGGGCUCGUAGGCGGCCAACUAAGUCCGACGUGAAAUCCCCAGGCUUAACCUGGGAACUGCGUCGGAUACUGGAUGGCUUGAAUUCGGGAGAGGGAUGCAGAAUUCCAGGUGUAGCGGUGAAAUGCGUAGAUAUCUGGAGGAAUACCGGUGGCGAAGGCGGCAUCCUGGACCGACAUUGACGCUGAUGAGCGAAAGCUAGGGGAGCAAACGGG